ACCAACAUCCAUCUAUGCCCAGCAUCCUCCAUCACACCAACUAUAAAAAAAAACGGCAAAAUAGUUCGUAUUGUUCUUGUUUUUCCUUCUACAGGCAGUCGCAGGUUGCCGCACACGUAACAAAAUUCGCUAUUUUGCUGGAUACAUUCCAACAAAAGAGUGAAAAAUAUAAUUACUUCUGGAAACCUGCAUUAAAUUACUGACAAAAUAAGUGACCUAUCUAGUGGGGAGCAACCCACACUUAAAGCCGGGCCAAAUUGGAAGUCUCAUAGGGUCUUCUUACCGCCCUGAAGAUGCUCCUACGUGCGAUCGUUGUAGGGCCUAUGUAAUUGAUCCUACGCUACCUUUCCAGAGAAAUUGAUAGAAGACUAGGAAUAAAUAAGGAUGCCCUAUGCAGCCAAUAUCACUUUUGGGUAAACAUAAUCGUAGAUUUAAAUAAAGUUAUAUGUUGGUUAUAAAAGCAAAGGAAAAUAAAGUUACAAAUCUAAUAAAGAUCUGGUUUUGGUACGAGUGAAUAUCGAAUUCAUUGUUGGUAAGGUGGGUUUGUUGGAUAGGAGUGGCAUGCAUCGGAUACUGAUUAAGUGUUUUUGUACCAAAGUACCACUUAACCAAUUUCAUUUUAACGACCAGAUUGCUGGGCUUUCAAAUAAUGGAAA